rnacentral:rRNA from 1 species
CCAGCUCCAAUAGUGUAUAUUAACGCUGUUGCUGUUAAAGGGUUCGUAGUUGAACUGAGAGCUGUACUUAGAUAGCGAUUCUACCCCUACCCACUUUCGUUGGCGUUGCGGGUCAUCGCGCUUGCAGCUCGUGAACAUCCGAAACAAAUAUCGCGGAAUCGACUAAGCUUCAACGCUUCUCUUCUACCCUCGCGCAAAAUGUGCGCCGAAGAGCGUCCGCGUUUUAUUACUGUGACUAAAAAAGUGUGACUCAAGCAGUCAUUCGACAUGAAUUGGAAAGCAUGGGAUAACAACGCAGCAGCCUGCGGGCGACCGUCAAGGCUUUUGUUGGCCCUAAACGUCUGUGGGAGAUUAUGGCUAGGCGCGACAAGCGGUUCGGGGUCUCGUCCCCACGCCUCCGAUUGCCAGCGGGUUUCGGCCCCUGCGCUUUCGGCUCGCCUGGUCAGGAAUGAAGGAGGGUUGUUCGGGGGAGAAAGUUCUCCGUCGUGAGAGGUGAAAUUCUUAGACCGACGGAAGACUAACUACAGCGAAGGCAUUCUCCAAGGAUAACUUCCUCAAUCAAGAACCAAAGUGUGGAGAUCGAAGAUGAUUAGAGACCAUUGUAGUCCACACCACAAACGGUGGCCCCCAUGAAUUGGGGAGUUAUUGAGCUGGCGUGGCUUUGGGUUCGCCCCAGAGACCACCCACUCAUACUUAUCAAAUUUACGUGCAGUUUCGACUAGGGCUUUGGCCCAUCUACGGGAAUAUCCUCAGCACGUUCUCUGACUGUUUCACGCGAAAGCUUUGAGGUUACAGUCUCAGGGGGGAGUACGCUCGCAAGAGUGAAACUUAAAGAAAUUGACGGAAUGGCACCACAAGACGUGGAGCGUGCGGCUUAAUUCGACUCAAC